CCUGGUUGAUCUUGCCAGUAGUCAUAUGCUUGUCUCACAGAUUAAGCCAUGCAAGUGAAAGUACAUAUGUAAAUAAUAUAUUGAAACUGCGAACGGCUCAUUAAAACAGUUAUAAUCUACUUGAUGUUUUUAAUAUAAGGAUAACUACGGAAAAUCUGUAGCUAAUACUUGUGAAAAUACCUUUUGAUAUAUACAUAUGUAUGUAUCAUUAAGGUAUGUAUUUGUUAGAUAUAAGAAUAAAAUAAAUAUAAUUGAAUUAUAACAAAGAAGAAACACAUAAAAUAUGUGUAUUAUCAAUCGAGUAUCUGACCUAUCAGCUUUUGAUGUUAGGGUAUUGACCUAACAUGGCUAUGACGGGUAACGGGGAAUUAGAGUUCGAUUCCGGAGAGGGAGCCUGAGAAAUAGCUACCACAUCUAAGGAAGGCAGCAGGCGCGUAAAUUACCCAAUUCUAAAAAAGAGAGGUAGUGACAAGAAAUAACAAUACAAUAUCGAAAAAUGAUUUUGUAAUUGGAAUGAUAGGAAUUUACAAGGUUCCUAGAGAAACAAUUGGAGGGCAAGUCUGGUGCCAGCAGCCGCGGUAAUUCCAGCUCCAAUAGCAUAUAUUAAAAUUGUUGCAGUUAAAACGUUCGUAGUUGAAUAUUAAAGAAUCCGAUGUUUCAUUUAAACUGGUUUGGGAAAACCAAAUAUAUUAUAUAUUUUGCUUUGUUCAAAAUAAGGUUUUCUAAUAAAUUAUGUUUUUAUCAGAUAUGACAGAAUCUUUUUUAAAAUCUCUUCAAUAUGCUUUUAUUGCUUUUGAGAGGUUUUGUUACUUUGAGUAAAAUUAAGUGUUCAUAACAGACGGGUAGUCAUGAUUGAGUUCAUUGUGUUUGAAUACUACAGCAUGGAAUAACAAAUAUGAAUAAGCUAAUUAUUUUUUUUUUUCAUAAUUUUUUUUGAUAUUCUUAUUAGCUUAGUUACGAUUAAUAGGAGUAGCUUUGGGGGCAUUCGUAUUCAGAUGUCAGAGGUGAAAUUCUAAGAUUUUCUGGAGACGGACUACUGCGAAAGCAUUUGCCUAAUCUAUUUCCAUUAAUCAAGAACGAAAGUUAAGGGAGUGAAGACGAUCAGAUACCGUCGUAAUCUUAACCAUAAACUAUACCGACUAGGUGUUGGAUGAAUAUAAAAAAUAUAUAAAUAUGUAGCAUUUCUUAGGGAAUGUUGAUUUUAUAUUAGAAUUGCUUCCUUCAGUACCUUAUGAGAAAUCAAAGUCUUUGGGUUCUGGGGCGAGUAUUCGCGCAAGCGAGAAAGUUAAAAGAAUUGACGGAAGGGCACCACCAGGCGUGGAGCUUGCGGCUUAAUUUGACUCAACACGGGAAAACUCACUAGUUUAAGACAAGAGUAGGAUUGACAGAUUAAUAGCUCUUUCUUGAUUUCUUGGAUGGUGAUGCAUGGCCGUUUUUAGUUCGUGAAUAUGAUUUGUCUGGUUAAUUCCGAUAACGAACGAGAUCUUAACCUGCUAAUUAGCGGUAAGUACACUAUAUUUUUAUUUGAAAUUGAAUAUAGGUAAUUAUACAUGUUUAUUCAGUGUUCAAAUUAGGAUAUUUUUUUAUUAAAAUAUUCUUUUCCUAGGUAACUAUACAUGUUUAUUCAGUGUUCAAAUUAGGAUAUUUUUUUAUUAAAAUAUUCUUUUCCCUGUUCUACUAAUAAUUUGUUUUUUUUUACUCUAUUUCUCUCUUCUUUUAAGA
rnacentral:rRNA from 1 species